rnacentral:rRNA from 1 species
AGAGUUUGAUCAUGGCUCAGGAUGAACGCUAGCUACAGGCUUAACACAUGCAAGUCGAGGGGAAACGAUAGAGAAAGCUUGCUUUUUCUAGGCGUCGACCGGCGCACGGGUGAGUAACGCGUAUCCAACCUGCCCACCACUUGGGGAUAACCUUGCGAAAGUAAGACUAAUACCCAAUGACGCCUCUAGAAGACAUCUGAAAGGGAUUAAAGAUUUAUCGGUGAUGGAUGGGGAUGCGUCUGAUUAGCUUGUUGGCGGGGUAACGGCCCACCAAGGCAACGAUCAGUAGGGGUUCUGAGAGGAAGGUCCCCCACAUUGGAACUGAGACACGGUCCAAACUCCUACGGGAGGCAGCAGUGAGGAAUAUUGGUCAAUGGGCGAGAGCCUGAACCAGCCAAGUAGCGUGCAGGAUGACGGCCCUAUGGGUUGUAAACUGCUUUUAUAAGGGAAUAAAGUGAGCCUCGUGAGGCUUUUUGCAUGUACCUUAUGAAUAAGGACCGGCUAAUUCCGUGCCAGCAGCCGCGGUAAUACGGAAGGUCCGGGCGUUAUCCGGAUUUAUUGGGUUUAAAGGGAGCGUAGGCCGGAGAUUAAGCGUGUUGUGAAAUGUAGAUGCUCAACAUCUGCACUGCAGCGCGAACUGGUUUCCUUGAGUACGCACAAAGUGGGCGGAAUUCGUGGUGUAGCGGUGAAAUGCUUAGAUAUCACGAAGAACUCCGAUUGCGAAGGCAGCUCACUGGAGCGCAACUGACGCUGAAGCUCGAAAGUGCGGGUAUCGAACAGGAUUAGAUACCCUGGUAGUCCGCACGGUAAACGAUGGAUGCCCGCUGUUGGUCUGAAUAGGUCAGCGGCCAAGCGAAAGCAUUAAGCA